rnacentral:rRNA from 1 species
GGGCCCGCACAAGCGGUGGAGCAUGUGGUUUAAUUCGAUGCAACGCGAAGAACCUUACCAAGCCUUGACAUCCUCGGAACUUUCCAGAAAUGGAUUGGUGCCUUCGGGAACCGAGUGACAGGUGCUGCAUGGCUGUCGUCAGCUCGUGUCGUGAGAUGUUGGGUUAAGUCCCGCAACGAGCGCAACCCACGUCUUUAGUUGCCAGCAUUUAGUUGGGCACUCUAGAGAGACCGCCGGUGAUAAACCCGGAGGAAGGUGUGGAUGACGUCAAGUCAUCAUGCCCCUUACAUCCUGGGCUACACACGUACUACAAUGCUACGGACAAAGGGCAGCAAGUUCGCGAGGACAAGAAA